rnacentral:lncRNA from 1 species
GGGAGGAGGGCCAGGAUGUUUGUGAUACGAUCACAUUGUGCCGCUAAAUCCUGGCACACACCAUAGGAGCUGUGACUAAGAGGCACCAUUUCAGUAACCCAGCACGUGUAACUCUGGAGCCUACCGAGUUGUGCUGAGCUGUGAAAUGAGAUACAUCUCGUUUACUGUGAAGUAGUCAUCCUCGCUGUCAACAGGGUGCCUCGGUUCUCUAGUCAGUUAGAGUUAGAACUAGGGUUAUGGACGAUCCAUAUCUUGAUCUCAAGAGUCAAGACCCACGAGGCUCAUUUCCAGGUGUUCAUGAUGGUGAAACUGAAGUUCUGCUCUGUGGGAUACGGUAUGAGUGGCACCAUGAACUCAGGGCUGGGUGCCUCCAGUCUUUCAUAUGGGAGCAGCCAGUGGCAGCAACGCAGGCUCAGAGCUUUCCCAGUAUGGGCCAUAGCUCUCCAGACAGUUCGGAUGGUCUCUCCCCUCUCGCCAGGGGCUUGGCCAACAAAGCUGAUAACACGUCCUGAGAAAUUUUCCUCAGGGGAAAUGGGGUGAAACGAGCUCUAAGGACAACCUCGAAAGGGAAAGCCUGUAUGGGAUGGAAGAGGAAGCUCAGAUGACCAGUUGUUGCUAGACAGCCAGACCUGGGCCUCCUGCUACGCGGAUGUGUGUGCACAAGCCCCGGGUCGUCCUCGAGGCCUCGGCGCCAUGCUGCCUCCAGUUCUCCUCUGCCAAGACUUGUGAUUGUCUCAGCAGCCCCGAAUCCAGCUCUGGGCACAACCCGCAGCAGUUGCCGAACGUUCUGCCCAGUUCUGUGCUGAGGCCUUGCAUUGCUGUGGCUCUGCCCUCCGGUGCUUGUCCGCCCUUGGUUCUGUCAUCCUGCUUCAACAAUUAGGUAAAAGGCCAGCCGCUGGGCUUGUGGGGCUGGACAUGCAGUGGCCCUUGUCUAUUGCUUUGCAGGGGUUUGCUUUCUUCCUGUUUGCAUUGUUGUCUCCAGGCUGGCACUUGAAUGAGCCCAACAGGCCAUUACAGCCACACAGUCAAACAAAGGUCUUUUAAGAGAACAAUUGUCAUUUGUUUCCUAGUUGGCAUUUCUGGAGAUUUAGCAGGAUAAUCUUGGAUGUACGUCAGCAAGCAUGAGCAGGAAUCAUCUUAAUCCCUAACAAGGCAUACAAAUGAAUUGGGACUUCAUGAAAAGUGUACAAAGAAUUUUUCUUUCUCCUUUCUCUUCCUCAGUUCCAGCAGCGGCGGGGUGUG